rnacentral:lncRNA from 1 species
AGUCAGUGCUUACGAAGGCUGGGCCCCGUGCUGCAAGAUGUGUAGGGGUGAGUUUAUCAAUCCUUGGAGAAUGUACUGUUAGCCCUGUUUUGCUGAUGAUAAAACUGAGGCUCAGAGGCCGCCCAGCCAGCUCCUGGUGGAGUUAAAACUUGCCACUUCCUGGCUCCAAGAGCUCAGGCUUCCACUAGGGUUUUCAUGUACCUUGGGGCAGAGUCUAUAAAUUCUCAGGUUAGUAAGACUUGUGUUCUCUUUCUCUGCGAGGUCAACAGUGAUAUAGUCACAGAACCCUCCCACAUUGGCAUGGAUUUGGCAAAAAGAGCACAGGACUCAGGAGAUUCUGUGCAGCUCAUAUCCCGAGGACUGGUUCCCACGCGACUCUAGUCUCCAGCUCCUAAACUGCCUUUGCCAAAGGCUCUGUCUAGAAGCGAGUCCAGUUAAACAGACUGCAUCCUGCCGGAGGGGUCAGACACGUGGAUUCCAAUCCCAGUUCUGCUUCUUCAGCUUUGCUGUGAGGCUUUGGGCAAGUUAAAGCAACCUGUCUGGGCUUCAGUUGCCUCACUUCGAAAGCGGUUACAGUAAUGUCUGUUUUAAAGAGGAAAGGGCUUGGCGCAAACUUCGCACUAACACAAAUUCCCUUACUCUUCUUGGGGAGGCGGCUGUGAUGAGACACGGAGAGGGAGAAAAACCAGGGGCGUCCUCUCUGCCUUCUGCAUAGAACCAGCAGUUAUCCGGGACCAUCUUUGUAGUGAACCGGGAGGGGGGCGGGAAGCAGGGAUGCAAACCAAGUCCCUGGGCUGGGAGGUGGUCUCUGGCGGGCGGGGGAGGAGAGGCCGGAAUAUCCAGGGAAGCGCAGAAAGGGCUCUCCCCGGUCUCCCGAAGAGUCGUGGGAACGUCAGGGCAGGACCGCCCAGCGCCCAGAGUCGGGGAAGCUUGGGCACAGGUGACUUUCUCAGAAUUUGGUAAGUUUUCUUGGCAGAUGAGGAAGGUACAGGGAUUUCGGCAACGGGGGUCCCGUGGAUGUCCCAGGUGGCGCGCAGCCGCGGUCCCGCCGCGCCGGCUCGGGGCGGGACACUCGGGACUCGCUCACUGAAGGCUCCAAGCUCUCCUGGGAUGGGCAACCAGCUCUUCCGCGGGAGCCGCGGGCCAGCGGGCGGGGGACCGAGCGGCACCGGGCCGGCGCAGGACUUGGGAGCACGGCGCCGCACCGGGAAGUGAUCGCCGCCGCCAGCCGCCUGACGCCAGCGGAAGUGCGAGCCCGCGGCGAGCCU